ACGCUCGACACCUACGGGAAGCAGCAGUGGGGAAUAUUGCACAAUGGGGGAAACCCUGAUGCAGCGACGCCGCGUGAGUGAAGAAGUAUUUCGGUAUGUAAAGCUCUAUCAGCAGGGAAGAAAAUGACGGUACCUGAGUAAGAAGCCCCGGCUAACUACGUCGCCGCAGCCGCGGUAAUCUGAGCGGGCUGGCAAGGC
rnacentral:rRNA from 1 species